rnacentral:rRNA from 1 species
CAGCCGCCGCGGUAAUACGUAGGUGGCAAGCGUUGUCCGGAAUUAUUGGGCGUAAAGCGCGCGCAGGUGGUUUAAUAAGUCCGAUGUGAAAGCCCACGGCUCAACCGUGGAGGGUCAUUGGAAACUGUUAAACUUGAGUGCAGGAGAGAAAAGUGGAAUUCCUAGUGUAGCGGUGAAAUGCGUAGAGAUUAGGAGGAACACCAGUGGCGAAGGCGGCUUUUUGGCCUGUAACUGACACUGAGGCGCGAAAGCGUGGGGAGCAAACAGGAUUAGAUACCCCGGUAGUCCCUGUCUCUUAUAC